rnacentral:rRNA from 1 species
AGUGAACGCUGGCGGUAGGCCUGACACAUGCAAGUCGAACGGCAGCACAGUAAGAGCUUGCUCUUACGGGUGGCGAGUGGCGGACGGGUGAGGAAUACAUCGGAAUCUACUUUUUCGUGGGGGAUAACGUAGGGAAACUUACGCUAAUACCGCAUACGACCUACGGGUGAAAGCAGGGGAUCUUCGGACCUUGCGCGAUUGAAUGAGCCGAUGUCGGAUUAGCUAGUUGGCGGGGUAAAGGCCCACCAAGGCGACGAUCCGUAGCUGGUCUGAGAGGAUGAUCAGCCACACUGGAACUGAGACACGGUCCAGACUCCUACGGGAGGCAGCAGUGGGGAAUAUUGGACAAUGGGCGCAAGCCUGAUCCAGCCAUACCGCGUGGGUGAAGAAGGCCUUCGGGUUUUAAAGCCCUUUUGUUGGGAAAGAAAAGCAGCAGGUUAAUACCCCGCUGUUCUGACGGUACCCAAAGAAUAAGCACCGGCUAACUUCGUG